UGGUAUUGAUUGGUGCUUGCAUCAUGAUUUACAUUUGAGUGAGUGGCGAACUGGUGAGUAACACGUGGGAAACCUGCCCAGAAGCGGGGGAUAACACCUGGAAACAGAUGCUAAUACCGCAUAACAACUUGGACCGCAUGGUCCGAGCUUGAAAGAUGGCUUCGGCUAUCACUUUUGGAUGGUCCCGCGGCGUAUUAGCUAGAUGGUGGGGUAACGGCUCACCAUGGCAAUGAUACGUAGCCGACCUGAGAGGGUAAUCGGCCACAUUGGGACUGAGACACGGCCCAAACUCCUACGGGAGGCAGCAGUAGGGAAUCUUCCACAAUGGACGAAAGUCUGAUGGAGCAACGCCGCGUGAGUGAAGAAGGGUUUCGGCUCGUAAAACUCUGUUGUUAAAGAAGAACAUAUCUGAGAGUAACUGUUCAGGUAUUGACGGUAUUUAACCAGAAAGCCACGGCUAACUACGUGCCAGCAGCCGCGGUAAUACGUAGGUGGCAAGCGUUGUCCGGAUUUAUUGGGCGUAAAGCGAGCGCAGGCGGUUUUUUAAGUCUGAUGUGAAAGCCUUCGGCUCAACCGAAGAAGUGCAUCGGAAACUGGGAAACUUGAGUGCAGAAGAGGACAGUGGAACUCCAUGUGUAGCGGUGAAAUGCGUAGAUAUAUGGAAGAACACCAGUGGCGAAGGCGGCUGUCUGGUCUGUAACUGACGCUGAGGCUCGAAAGUAUGGGUAGCAAACAGGAUUAGAUACCCUGGUAGUCCAUACCGUAAACGAUGAAUGCUAAGUGUUGGAGGGUUUCCGCCCUUCAGUGCUGCAGCUAACGCAUUAAGCAUUCCGCCUGGGGAGUACGGCCGCAAGGCUGAAACUCAAAGGAAUUGACGGGGGCCCGCACAAGCGGUGGAGCAUGUGGUUUAAUUCGAAGCUACGCGAAGAACCUUACCAGGUCUUGACAUACUAUGCAAAUCUAAGAGAUUAGACGUUCCCUUCGGGGACAUGGAUACAGGUGGUGCAUGGUUGUCGUCAGCUCGUGUCGUGAGAUGUUGGGUUAAGUCCCGCAACGAGCGCAACCCUUAUUAUCAGUUGCCAGCAUUAAGUUGGGCACUCUGGUGAGACUGCCGGUGACAAACCGGAGGAAGGUGGGGAUGACGUCAAAUCAUCAUGCCCCUUAUGACCUGGGCUACACACGUGCUACAAUGGAUGGUACAACGAGUUGCGAACUCGCGAGAGUAAGCUAAUCUCUUAAAGCCAUUCUCAGUUCGGAUUGUAGGCUGCAACUCGCCUACAUGAAGUCGGAAUCGCUAGUAAUCGCGGAUCAGCAUGCCGCGGUGAAUACGUUCCCGGGCCUUGUACACACCGCCCGUCACACCAUGAGAGUUUGUAACACCCAAAGUCGGUGGGGUAAC
rnacentral:rRNA from 2 species